AUGGUUCUAUCGGGCCAUUCAGUGAUGUCAUUUGCUUUCCAGAGUUCUGAACGCAGGCCCUGUCAAGCACGGAUGUGUUGCCCUGUCAGCGGUGCCCUGCAUGGACCAGAGUGUCUCCCUCCUCCACAGCCCCCUUCCCAGCUCUCCACUCAUCCCACAGGAAAUGCCACGGUUUGCACAGUGCUGGCAGGUCUUGGUGAUGAGUGGUUUCCAGGCACCUCGGCCAACCUCCCUCCGACUACGUGCGGUGCUCCUUGUUUCCACCUUGGUGUUCAAAUAUCCACAGCUCCUGGUAUUUAUCUGAUUGCCUCUUUACACUAAAAUGUCACAUCUUGCCCGACGCUGCAUGGGAGCAGCUAAAUAUCUGGAAUAAUCAGUUCAUUGGAUUUACCUGGACUUUGCAUAAUUUAUCUGAUGCUUCUCGAAUCCUUCCUAUGUAGUUCAGUAAGAUCAUCGUGUUAGCAUUGGACGUACACAGCCUUUCCUUACGGAGGGUCAGGUUGACUGAUUACCACAGAAUUAUCUUCCUUGUAGCUUUAAUGAGUUGGAAGGUCACUUGUUCCAGUGUGUUCUCAGGCACUGACAUGCACAGGCUUUCUACAGCUUAUGCUGAGAAGGGAGAGAGCCACUCACGAGCCAGUUCCCUUUGAAGAUGACUCUGGUCCAAUCAAAAUGUGUUCCCACAGCCACGCCCAUUGGAACGGGCCCACGGUUCCCGAGCUGAAGGAUGACUGUUGAACUUCUCAGCAGGUGAGAAGUCGAAAUACUAAUCAGAGGACAGACGUUUAGCCUGGUGGUUAGACUCUGGUGAAGGCGCCCAAGGCCCACGUCGUAGUACCUGGGCUUGACUCCUGACUCUAACUCUGGGCUUCGGCUUCCUUCUAAGGCAGAGCUCACAAGGCAGGGGUGAUGGCUCAAGCGCCUGGGCUCCUGUUGUCCACGUGGGAGACGUGGAUUGAGUUCCCAGCUCUGGCUUUGGUCCAACCCAGUCCUGGCUGUUGCAGCCAUGUAGGGAAUAAACCAAUGGAUGGGAGAACUAACUCA
rnacentral:lncRNA from 1 species